CCAUGAAUCCUAUUGGAUGUGGAUCCCACCAUCUCAGACUCAUCAAAUUGUCACCUCCUGAAAAUCUGUGCAGUCAUAUUGGAGAUGGGGAUUCAAUCAAUCUCUACGCUGAGGAAUCUCCUUUAUAACCAGGAAGUGAUCUCUGGAGUCUAGGAAAGAAGAGAAGAUGGACAAUGGGCAGCAAAGUGUGUGCCUGGUAUGAAGCGUCCACUGGGCAGUUGGGCUGUCCUCAGGGAAACCACAGGCUCCACCAGGUAUACGUCUGGAAACCCCAGACUUUCUGCUCGGUUUAUACACAAGAGGAAUGCAUUAUGCUG